rnacentral:lncRNA from 1 species
GAGAUUUGGGGGUAUUUGGUUACCGAAGCCUGGAUGUUCCCCUCUUUGUGUCCUCCAGCGAGGACGGAGAAACAAGUCCUCCCCCAACAAUACAGCCCGUCCUCAAGCAUCCCCAGACCGACAGCACGGCGGCCACCGGGCCUGCAGGUUAACACACGUAAAGUAACCUGUGUAUCUCCAAGAGAGGAUCGGGGUUGUUUUCUGAAGAAACCUAUAGGUUGUUGCCACUUUUGCUGCCUUCACCUGGGAGAAGUCGAGUAAUUCUCCAGCCCCUUUCAAAUACGCCUCAUCUGCACCAAAUUUCU